rnacentral:rRNA from 1 species
GACGAACGCCGGCGGCGUGCUUAACACAUGCAAGUCGAACGGAAAGGCCCUGCUUUUGUGGGGUGCUCGAGUGGCGAACGGGUGAGUAACACGUGAGUAACCUGCCCUUGACUUUGGGAUAACUUCAGGAAACUGGGGCUAAUACCGGAUAGGAGCUCCUGCUGCAUGGUGGGGGUUGGAAAGUUUCGGCGGUUGGGGAUGGACUCGCGGCUUAUCAGCUUGUUGGUGGGGUAGUGGCUUACCAAGGCUUUGACGGGUAGCCGGCCUGAGAGGGUGACCGGCGACAUUGGGACUGAGAUACGGAACAGACUCCAACGGGAGGCAGCAGUGGGGAAUAUUGCACAAUGGGCGGAAGCCUGAUGCAGAAAAGCCGCGUGCGGGAUGACGGCCUUCGGGGUGUAAACCGCUGUCGCAUGUGACGAAGAGUGAGUGACGGUAAUGGGUAAAGAAGCAACGGCUAACUACGUG